AAUAUUGCACAAUGGGCGCAAGCCUGAUGCAGCCAUGCCGCGUGUAUGAAGAAGGCCUUCGGGUUGUAAAGUACUUUCAGCAGUGAGGAAGGUGGAUAUGUUAAUAGCAUAUUCAUUUGACGUUAGCUGCAGAAGAAGCACCGGCUAACUCCGUGCCAGCAGCCGCGGUAAUACGGAGGGUGCGAGCGUUAAUCGGAAUUACUGGGCGUAAAGCGCAUGCAGGUGGUUUGUUAAGUCAGAUGUGAAAGCCCGGGGCUCAACCUCGGAAUUGCAUUUGAAACUGGCAAACUAGAGUACUGUAGAGGGGGGUAGAAUUUCAGGUGUAGCGGUGAAAUGCGUAGAGAUCUGAAGGAAUACCGGUGGCGAAGGCGGCCCCCUGGACAGAUACUGACACUCAGAUGCGAAAGCGUGGGGAGCAAACAGG
rnacentral:rRNA from 1 species